GUACGGCCUCAAACAUGCAUUUGAGUAAAUAGAAUCUAUUACUACUACCUAUAGUUUUAUGCUGGUAACUAGAACUUGAACCAUAUUGACACAUUAAUACUAAAGAAUUUACAUUUCUAAUUUUAUUGUAAAUAUGUUUUUGCCCAUUCUCAGCAAUCCAGAAGUCAAGCAAUAUCCCUCUGCAAUAUUGACCAACAACACCACUCAAAAAGUCGCCCUUUAUUUCAUUAUCUUGCCACAAACUCACAGCUUUCAGCAAGUAGUUUUGCAUCUGUUAAUCAAGAACAAGCUGCCAUUUAUGUUAAAAAUAUAAUGAUUAUCUAAGCCUAUAGCUCUAUAAGUAAAAAAUGUCUUCAUUUUGUCCAAAACUGUUUUGCUUUGAUAAAAUAUAGUGAAAAUAAUCAACUACAAGCUAGAUUUUAGCAUUUGGCAUUGUGACAGUCUCUCUUUUUUGUUUCUGUGUUUACACACAAAUAAAUACUAUAGUAAUUUAUCCUAAAAAUGAUGGUGAUGGUGUUUUUAAAACCACGCUAUAGUAAAUUAUAUUAUACUAUAUGUUAUUUGCAACACUUCAAUAAUAGAUGCUACAGCAUGCUGUAGUAUUAUGUACUCGUCAACUGAUAAACUAAUAAAUACUGUAGUAAACUGAAGGUUUUAUUGGCCUAUGUAGCUCCUCAAAUACGGAUAAUUUACAGCAGUGUAUAAGCAACAAAACAUACACAAAUAUUUCAGAUUUAAUGCCAAGGUCAUAACCAGAACUGAUUUUACUAUUUUAAAGUUUUCAGAGAGAAAUAUAAAACAAUUUAAUAGUAUUUUUGCAAUUGUGCAACUUGUUUUUGUCUAGAAAGUCACAUGCUAUAUUGUGUGGUUAAACUCAGCUGAAGCGAAAAAAACAAAACCAGAAACAAUGUCCUUUUAUAUGGUCUCUUGAAAACUAAUGACAAACAGCAUCAGUCAGCUAUGUUUUUGACCGCAGAAGAGUGAAAAUGCACUUUUUGUGGUUCACUAGUUUUGACACAAUAAUAUGUCCUCCUUCAUAUAUGCUGUUAAAAGUGCACAAGAUUAACACUGAAGGAUCUGGAGAUUUCUUUCUUUACCAGUAAAUCUCCUUUAUAUCAAGAUCACAUUAUAAUAACAUCAGCUCCUAAUGUUACUGCUAAGUUUGUAGACUCAGUGGCUUUAAACCACAACAGACCUGCGAGAGAAACACAUUUAUUGAGGUAUGAAAUUAAAACAAAACCCAUAUAACCAAAUGUUUAGAGGAAACUCACAGAUUAGAAGCUUUGAGAUCUUUAUGGUCUGAACCUGAUGAAUCUGGAACACUGAGAUCAUUUAAACAUCUGUGAGUGGAAACACAACAGUAGAUCUGCAUCACUCGCUACAGGCGAGUUUGUUUUUUGAUUAUUGUGUCUUGAAAAUGUAAAUAAUCAAAAUUUUCUUGAAAAAUUUAUUGCCAAUGUGAGUGAGAUCAAAAUAGCGUAUUAUUUAAAUUGUUACCAAAAUGCUGUAAGUUUGCUUCACCACAAGAUGGCGGCGGAAUGACCGAGUAAGUAAAUAAUCGAUUUUGUUUUGAGUUCAUCACAUAUCAGGAUCAAAUUCGGAGUUGACGUUUUUAGUGUUCAUAGUGAGUGUUGUGAGUCUAAGAUUCAUAUUAUUUUGCUUUAGUGCUUCAGUCAAUCUAAUCUGAACUUCUGGGGGGAAUUGACUCCGUGUAGCUUUUUACUCUAUGCGACAUGAGGAGUUUUCAGCUUCAGCUCUAUGUAUUGAUCUGUUGUCAAGCAGGAGUGGCAGAUCUACUAACUGCUCUGGGAUCAAAUGUAACCAUAAACUGUGAUCUUGAUGAAAAUGACGUUUAUUGGAUCUUACAGAAAACUCCAGAUCCUCCAACAGUGAUUCUGCGAUCAUUCUCAACACCAGCAUCAUCUUUAUACUUGAAUAAAUCAUUCAGGAUCAAAUAUUCAGUGCAGUUUAAACAUCGUCUGGUUAUUAACAACCUUACUGCUGAUGAAUUAGGACUUUAUUACUGUAUGAGCACACGCACACCUCCACAAUUCAGCAGCAGCACCAGAUUAUACAUCACAACCGGUCAACUAACGGAAUUAGAUUAGUGUCUUAAUCAUACAGCAGAGGUGUUUAUGGAUCAGAAUCAAACACAAUGGCAGAUUAUUGGCUUCAUAUCUGCUCUGAUGUGUGGCUGUCUGCUCAUUGUGCUGAUUGUUUCAUCUUUAGUUUUUGCUGCUGGAAAAACAGAGGGGCUGGAAAAACACAUUCAUGCUGCUGAUAUACUGCGGACUCAAGUUACAUAUCAACCUCAAGACUCAAACAAAUCAGAUGCGUGUAAUAUCACUCUUGAUCCAAAUACUGCACAUGAAAUGCUCUCAGUUGCAGAGGACAACAAAACAUUGGUGCGUAACUCAGAGCCGAUGAUUUAUCCUGAUCAACCAGACAGAUUCACUGGCCUCCCACAGAUUCUGUGUAAAGAGCGUCUGUCUGGACGCUGCUACUGAGAGGCCGAGUGGAAAGGACUGGGUGACAUGGUGGUGUCUUAUGGAGGAAUCGGCAGGAAAGGAGAAAGUCUUGAUUGUCGAUUCGGAGCCAAUGACAAGUCCUGGAUUCUGAGCUGCUUUAUUGGAGAGAAACUGAUUGCCUGGCAUGAUAACAGGGGGGUUUAUAUUCCUCUCCCAACAACUCCCUAUAACAGAAUUGGAGUGUUUCUGGAUGAGCCGGCCGGCAUUUUGUCCGUCUUCAGUGUCCCUGAUGAAAACACACUUAAUCACUUGUACAUGUCAAAACCAAAUUUACUGAACCCCUCUAUGCUGGAUUUGUGCUUUAUACAGAGUCAGUAGCCCCUUUCACACAUACAGACCUUUCCGGAAAAUUGCCGGCAAUUUUCUGGAAAGGUUGUAUGUGUGAACCGCUGUACUACAGAAUUUCGGAAGCUUAA